rnacentral:SRP_RNA from 1 species
GCCGGGUGCGGUGGCAUGUGCCUGUAAUCCAAGUCACUGGGAGGCUGAGGUUGGUGGAUCAAGUGAGCUGAGGAGCUCUGGGCUGCAGCACUCUAUGUCGAACGGGUGUCCACGCUAAGUUCGGUAUCGAUAUGGUGUUCCUGGGGGAGCCCGGGACCACCAGGUUGUCUAAGGAGGGGUGAACCGGCCCAGGUCGGAAACGAAGCAGGUCAAAUCCCCCGUGCUGUCCAGUAGUGGGAUAAUACCUGUGAGUAGAUGCUGCAGUGCAGCCUUGGCAAAACAUUGAGACCUAAUCUUUU